UCCGAAAUAACUCAGUUGGGGAAGCGUCAGACUAUAAAUCGAGAGUCCCUGGUUUGAUCCCGAGAUUCGGCA
rnacentral:tRNA from 1 species